rnacentral:rRNA from 1 species
GUGGGGAAUAUUGGACAAUGGGGGCAACCCUGAUCCAGCCAUGCCGCGGGUGUGAAGAAGGCCUUUUGGUUGUAAAGCACUUUAAGCGAGGAGGAGGCUUACCUGGUUAAUACCCGGGAUAAGUGGACGUUACUCGCAGAAUAAGCACCGGCUAACUCUGUGCCAGCAGCCGCGGUAAUACAGAGGGUGCAAGCGUUAAUCGGAUUUACUGGGCGUAAAGAGCGCGUAGGUGGCUAAUUUAGUCAAAUGUGAAAUCCCCGAGCUUAACUUGGGAAUUGCAUUCUAUACUUGUUAGCUAGAGUAUGAGAGACGAUGGUAAAAUUCCAUGUGUAGCGGUGAAAUGCGUAGAGAUCUGGAGGAAUACCGAUGGCGAACGCAGCCAUCUGGCCUAAUACUGACACUGAGGUGCGAAAGCAUGGUGAGCAAACAGGAUUAGAUACCCUAGUAGUCC